UGGUGGCAUGCUCCUCCUGUGGUUCAAAUGUUAACCUAGGACUCAGAAGAGAAGGGUUCAAUAUCCUUUUGUGCUACAGACUUCUUGAGCAAGCAAUUUGAUGUUUCAUUUCCCCAUCUCUGAAAACAGUACCUGUUCAUGUAUAUUCUUGGGAUUUUAUUCAGGGGGAGAAAACACUCAAUAGCUUUAUUGAAAGUUUCCAAAGAAGUCAAUAUUAUUGUUUUCAAAUUCAAUAAGCCACAUUUUCUUUGUGCGCCUAUUUCUGAAAAUAGAUGGAAAGUCUGAUACUCGUCCACAACAGUUUUGAUUUCACUAUUUAUUAAAAGCUCUUCUGCUGUAAAGGGUGUUCAGCAGACACCAGCCUCCCUUACUGAGGUCUGCUCACCUCUGCCCCAAAGUUCAUGUCUUAUAUUCUAUGUGUGAG